AGCUGCCAGGAAGAAGUGUAUUUUUUUUCAUGAUCAACAGUAUGGCUGUCACUGAGUAAUUGUAUUACAGCAACAAAAUUUCCUGAAAAUGGAAAUGACUGAGUGUUCGUUCAUCUCAUGACGAUGAUGGGAUUAAGGGUUAGAAUGCUGGGAGCUACACCAGAGGGGUCUUACAACAUAUUGCCUGGAAGUCCGGUUCUAAGCGGGUUUGCCUUAGACCGUCUUCUCCUUUCGUACUGCUGCUUCAAGAAGUGAGAGAAUUAUUAAUGCUCUGUAAAUUUGUCUUCAACCCUCAAUGGCAACUGAAAUCUCCCGUAUAAGUUUCCUGAACAUGUAAUGAAUCCUUAUGCUCACAUGUGUUUAUUAGACUGUUUUGUCUAAU
rnacentral:lncRNA from 1 species